AGACACUUGUUAUCCUAAAAUUUUCCUUUUUUUUUUUGCCAUGAUCUUCAUGAACACACUAAAGUGUUCUAUGCAGCAUAUUUUUAGGAGCAGAUUCGGUUCAGAUAAUCUCUUAUGUCUGUGCUGCCAACUUGAGGCUGCCUGAGAGUUUGUUGGGAGCUCCAAACUCCCCAGUCACCACAGAAGCCCCCUUCUUACCCAGCAGGCCCACACUCGGGAUCUGAACUCUCUGAUAGAUGGGCCAUGCUGGAGAGACAGCAGCAGCCUAAAAGGGGUUCACAGCCCUCCAAGAAAAAGGGAGAAAAGAUGCUGCAUUUGACUGCAACACUAAAGAGCCCUUUCAUUGCUCAUGAAAAGAGUUUGGAGAAUAUUGGCCAGGAUCCCAGAGCUAGGGGAUCCAGGGCUAUGGGCAAGUUAUUAAGUGCCCUGGAAAGGCCCCAUUGGGCAAUUUAGGGAAUCCCUGGGCUGGUAUUGGAAGGCAUUGAUGGAAGAGAUUGAAUGGCCACCUGCCCCUCUACUGGGGCCUGAGGAGGGGUCAGUGCCCCGGCCUGCACAGGGGCUGUAGACUGCUGCUGUUGGGGCCAAUACCAGGCCAGGGAAAAGGAAAGAAAGAGAAAAAUGAAGAAUGAGAGAGCUAUUUUCAACUUUAAGGAUACCAAAUGGGGUUUUAAACAUUAUGGACAAAUGACGCAGGGUAGGGAGCUUUAUUUGCUCAAGGAGUCAGGAAUCCUAGCCUCUCUUACCCAGUAUCAUUUUUCAGAAUUCACCACUGGCUUUUUGAGUCAGGUCUGGAAACUUAAGCUUCUCCUUGGCAUGAAAUCGGAAGACAUGCACAGCGGAUUUUCCCAUUCUGUGAGAUGAGCUGGACAGAGGCUCCAGGAAGUGAGAUCUGGGGCAUUCCACCUUUGCUGUGUCUCCUUGGAGACUACAAUAUCGUUCAUUCUGAGGUUCCAUUCUUACAUGUAGUGGUUCCUGGUCUGCCCAUUUGGAAAAGGGGACUAGGAAUACCUGUCCUACCCACGUCAUGAGGGUGUUAUGGGGAUCCAUACACUCUGAAAGGUGUGUGACUGAAUUAUUGGAAUAUUGAUGAAGCUGGAAGUCCUUGUGUGUCGAGAUGAUGUGUAAGGAGUUCUUCGUUCCAUGAGCAAAUAAACAUGGAAAAGAGGCAAAGUUAAUGUCCCCUGGAGAAAUGGACGGAUGAUUGGAUGGAUGGACAGACGGACAGGUGGAUAACCUCAUGAGCCAACAGCUGCCAGGUUUUCAGAGCAGGCCUGGGUCAGCCACGCAGGCAUCCAUCUGGGUCUCCUCUGGAGAAUCACUGCCUUCCUGUGGCCAGGAUGAGGAGGGGAAGAAGAGGCUGAGGCCCCGGCACUUACCAUGGUCUUUCCAUUGCUGAGCUCCACCUAAUGGAGAAACAAGGACACCUGUCACCCCAGACUGGGGAAAAGAUGGGAAGAAGCCAGUAGAGAAGGAAGAUGUUGAAAACACAGGAGGGAAAGAGGAGUUUUAUCUGCAGAUAUCAGCGGCCUGGACGUGAGUGAGGUGUACAUGUCACAUUUGGAGCCAUGGCAACCAUCCUGUGACCUGGAGGACAGAAGUCUAAAGGACUCCAGCUACUUAUUUUCCGGCCAUCUCUGCAGGCCUCCAUCUGCCUGUAGCCUGAAGGAGAUCUGGAUUACCAUUCUGUCAGGUAAGCGUUACACAACUUAGGGUUUUCAUAAGCAAGAUGGCAGACGGAGCUCCAGGAAAGCUGCUCAGAAAAUGCCGUGGGUAACAUAAAGAAGAUGAAAUUCUCUGCAAGGUGCACAUUGAAACUUUUCUCUUGUGGUGCAUUGGGAAUAAAGGCAGGGCGGAACCAUCUAUUGGGCACAGCUGGAGCAGAGUCCAGAGCUCGUGAUACUUUUAGUGGCUCAUGAAAAUGUUUCAAUUUUUUUUUUUUUAACUAGAAGGCAAUGUUUUAAUAUAUAAUGUUAAUACAGACAUACUGUAGGGGAGAAAGGCUUCUCACUCAUCACAAGGUUCAUGGCUGAGGCACCUAUAAUAAAAGACAGAUUAACAAGAGAAAAGCACACAAAUUUAUUUAAUACAAAUUUUAUGUGGGCUGGGC